rnacentral:lncRNA from 1 species
AGCAUUUGUUGAGCAUUCACCACUCAUAUUUAGAACUUGCUCCAUAUUUUUUUGAGAUGGAGUCUUGCUCUGUUACCCAGGCUGGAGCACAGUGGCACAAUCUUGACUCACUUCAACCUCUUCCUCUCAGGUUCAAGCAACUCUCCUGCCACAGCCUCCUGAGUACCUGGGACUACAGCUAUGUAUCUGUUGUGAAAAUUCCCAUCCAGCUUCAAGAAUCACACUCUCAAGCAGAAGGCGAUCUAAGAGAAAGCAAGAGGCACACUACUCCAGGUUGGUAAGUAGUCAAAAAUUUAUUCAGGGGAAACUUACAUAUGAGGCAGUCUUGGGUGCAGCAAGAUAAGUUGGAGGUAGAUCACAUUUGCAAUGCGUUCCUGUCUAGUCUUGUAUACCAUGUGAAGAAAAAAAAAAGAAAAAAGAGGGAAAAUGUCACUGAUAGCAUGUGAAGCUGUCUGGUUCCUUUCUUAAUCUAUUCACUCUCUUCUUAAAGAGAUUGUUGGGUUUCCCCACAGUGUGGUCAAUAUCCCUAAAUGUGCGUGUAAGGGUGAUCAGAGUAGGCUCAGGUAUCUUAGUUCUCUGGUCACAACUGACUUUGUGGUCAAAUGUCCAGAAUAUGUUUUCACAACACUAUGUUUCUAUUAUCUAUCUAUCUAUCAUCUUCAUCUAUCUAUCUACCUUCAUCUGUCUAUCUAUCUAUCUCUAUCAUCUAAUUUAUCUCCUGUUGUUUCUGUUUCUCUGAAGAACCUUUACUAAUACAGAUGUUUAAUACUAAGUUUCUUUAAUUCUAAAUAAAUGAAAUGUUAAAGAUGAGAUUUCAGCAUUGGUUCCAAGGCUUCUGGAAUUGGCUCUCUAAUCUGAUUGGAUUUAAAGUUGCUAAUGACUAUUUUCAGUAGUACAGAGAGAACUAAAAGUCUAUGGUGUAAUCUGUCAAUAGAAAUACACAAAACACCUCCAUUAAAUUCUCUUAAUAAACCACUUAUUAAGAAGCAAGGAGGUGAGUGACUGUGUAGAUAACACUUCUGAACAUUUUUAGAAAACUAACAAAUAUAAUGAGGUUGGCAGACUGCUU